rnacentral:tRNA from 4 species
GCGGAAGUGGCGAAAUUGGUAGACGCACCAGAUUUAGGUUCUGGCGCCUUAGGCGUGUGGGUUCAAGUCCCUCCUUCCGCACCA